rnacentral:misc_RNA from 2 species
AGCUAUCAAACAUCUAGUUCUUAAUUAGAUGGUUGGAUUUGGACUCUGCUGUGUAACAAACGGCUGGCCCAAAAUUUAUUAGCUGAUCCUAGUGAGACUUGGUUCUACUCGGCGUGAUAAUUAUCUAACGUUGAGGACAUCGCAAGAUGGCCAGAUCAAACUUUGUGGAUUGCUUCUAAUCGUCCUCACAGACAAUUUAUUAUCA